rnacentral:lncRNA from 1 species
AUGUUAAAGUUGGAUUCUGUUCUUGUCAUUAGGGUGGGAGAAGCAAUCUCAAACUUCAAGCAUUUUUAUAUUGCUGAUUUCAGAGCUAGUUCUGAGGGGUUGGAAGUUUUUAGGACCUCCAAGGUUAUUACAAUCAGGACUGUUCCUCAGGGCUUCUUCUCCCUUGAGACCAGAAAUGAUACUGUUCUUCAGGAUCCCUUCUCUUUUGGGACAGGAAGUGGCACUUCUUCAGUGACAAUGUUCCUCGCGGUUACUUACAUAUCUUGUGACUAAAACAGAUACAGUUUCUUCAUGUUUCUAUUCCCAUUUGACCAAAAAUUCUCCUCUCUGCUCUGGAACUGUGAUCCAGAAGUGGGGAUAAAUGGAAUUGCCAAUCAAUGGUCCUGCACACAAAAGCACCUUUAGGCAAAUUCUUUCUGCCUGUGAAAGGUUUUGAUCCUGAGCCUUGGAUCCCCAUGUUGCCAUCUGAUAAAUGGUAGUAGAAAAAACAUCCUCAAUCACAAAUCAAUCAAUACAUUUCUUAAGCACCUGCUCUGUGCCAGGCACUGUAUUAAAUGCUGGAGAUACAAAAAUAUGGGGGAAAAAAAUUCUUCCUGCUCUCAAGGAGCUUACUAUCUAACAGGAUUAGAAAAGAAGGUGGAUAGGUCAUGUAGUGAGGAUGAGUGGUACCAAUACUCCCAAGUCUUUCAUGAAUUCUUAAAAGACUGAGAAAGGUUGACACUCACAAGGUUAGAAUUAAAGGUUGGAGUAAGACCUUUUGGGCCUCAACCGAUAGAAAGAAGGCAGGAGUUGCAAUCAUGAUAUCUGACAAAGCCAAAGUACAAAUAGACCUGAUCAAAAGGGACAGGGAAGGUAAAUAUAUUCUGCUAAAAGGAAGUAUAGACAAUGAGGAAAUAUCACUAAUCAACAUGUAGGCACCAAAUGGUAUAGCAUCCAAAUUUUUAAUAGAGAAACUAGGAGAAUUGAAGGAGGAAAUAGACAGUAAAACCUUAUUAGUGGGAGACUUGAACCAACCACUAUCAAAUUUAGAUAAAUCAAAUCAAAAAAUAAAUAAGAAAGAGGUAAAAGAGGUGAAUGAAAU